UCAACGCCGGGCAGCUCACCGGAUAAGACAGCUGGAUGAUAGCCGGGCUGAAGACUCUGCUUGACUAGCUGAGAGGAGGUGCAUGGCCGUCGUCAGUUCGUACUGUGAAGCAUCCUGUUAAGUCAGGCAACGAGCGAGACCCACGCCAACAGUUGCCAGCAUGUCCUCCGGGAUGAUGGGGACACUGUUGGGACCGCUCUGCUAAAGAGGAGGAAGGAAUGGGCAACGGUAGGUCAGCAUGCCCCGAAUUAUCCGGGCUACACGCGGGCUACAAUGGUCAGGACAAUGGGUAUCGACACCGAGAGGUGGAGGCAAUCUCCUAAACCUGUCCUUAGUUCGGAUUGUGGGCUGCAACUCGCCCACAUGAAGCUGGAAUCCGUAGUAAUCGCGUUUCAAAAUAGCGCGGUGAAUAUGUCCCUGCUCCUU
rnacentral:rRNA from 1 species